CAGGCUGGUCUCGAACUCCUGAUCUCAGGUGAUCCGCCCACCUCAGCCUCCCAAAGUGUUGAGAUUACAGGCAUGAGCCACCGCACCCGGCCUCCCUCUACCUUUUAAUACUUCAUACUAAGACGUGGAAAUUCUCUUGCAUAACCCAGCAGAGUUGUCAAAUCAGGAAAUUCAUUACUGAUACAAUACUUUAAUCUCUACUGCAUAUUCCAAUUUGUUAAUUUCCAGUAGUGUUCUUUUUGUGUUGUUGUUGUUGUUGUUUUGUUUGUUUGUUUUUUCUGAGCAGGGUCUUGCUCUGUCAUCCAGGCUGGUGUGCAGUGGUGCAAUCACAGCUCACUGCAGCCUCGACCUUCCUGGGCUCAGUUGAUCCUCUUACCUCAGCCUCCUGAAUAGCUGAGACUACGCGCAGGCAGCCAUGCUUACUAAUUUUUGUAUUUUUUAUAGAGACAGGGUUUUAUCAUGUUGCCCAGGCCGGUCUUAAACUCCUGGGUUCAAGCAAUCUGCUAGACUCAGCUUCCCAAAGUGUUGGGAUUACAGGUGUGAACCACUGCACCCAGCCUGCCAAUAGUGUUCUUUAUAGCAAUUUUUUUUUUCUAUACAGGAACCAGUUCAGGAUUAUGUGUUGCGUUGAAUUGUCAUUUCUUCUUUAUUGCAGCUUCUUAGACUUUCUUUCUAUUUUUUUAUGACAUCGACAUUUUUGACUUCUUAUUCACCUUGGAGAAGGUGUAAACAACUGGAGCAAUUUUGCCUCCAGAGGACAUUUGGCAAUUUCCAGAGACAUUUUUGGUUGACAAAACUGGAAGAGUUGGAGAUAGAUGGGGUGAUGGUUGCACAACAAUGUAAAUGUACUUAAUGCCGUUGAACUGUACACUUCAAUA
rnacentral:lncRNA from 1 species